AUUUGAGAACGUGCGUGUGAUUUUGCGUGGGCAACACGCAACGUUUGGCGGGAAGUGUGUCAAAUUUCUUUAUAUUGUAUGGUAUCAAGUGAAGACGUUUCUAUUUCUUGGAAUUUUGAAUUGAGGAUAGAACAUUUGCUCAUCAACACAGUCAUAGAGACACAGUGUUAUAUGGAAGGAGAUGCUUGAAAGCCAGAGAUUGGUAUAUUUUGACGACUCGUAAGUAUUUACAAAACCUGAACAAAAGUGCUUUUGUUAAAACUCACAAAUGUUGUUUGUUCGUUGGGUGCGAGGUUGGGUGCCAAUGUAGGUAGCAAACAUUCUAAAAAAAUUACAAACUGCAAACUUUAGUGCUCUUCGUCUGGAAGUUGGUAGCUAUAGUAGGCACUAAUUUACUAGACAAAGGCCAGAACUUGAAGCAUAUCGAAGUUUUCUUAUAUUUUGCUGGUGUUUCAUAUUUGCAUUGAAUAGCUAGUGCUCAAUGCUCAUACAUACAGUCAAUUAAGUUUGCAAUAUGUUACUAUAAGACAGGCAGCAUUAUCACUGAGAUAUUCAGUUCGAAACUGAUGUAAUGUUGGUCCUAAGAUGUAUUUACAAGCUUAACCAAAUUACCAUCGAUCUGCACCCAGCUUUAUUAUUUUACAUUUUAUACUUUGUCUAUGACACCAGACUACAGUAUAUAACUUGUCAAGUUGAGAGUGCUGGUGCCACUGAUGCUCACUGGGUUAAUUCAGACUAUCUGUCCAUGUGUUUAAAGACAACCUGUUAAGUUAAUUGCAUUGUGCCAUAAUUCUCCCUACUUAAUUAUUAUUUUAUUCUGUCUAAUGCAGAUGAUUUCUUGUCAAGGGGAGAGCACAUGCAGGUACUGAACAGGUUAUAACUAAUGAGCUAGGGUAUUUAACCAGGACAAUGUUGUGGUCAUGCAGUAAGUACUGUUUAUAACUGGACUGUGUGCCAAACUUCCUGUGUUUACGCGAGGCUUUUGAGGUGGGCUGGUUCGCCAAAACAAACCACUGGUCUCCCCGCUAUAAAUAGUAUACCGGUACAGUAAUAUAAAUUUAUAUAUUUUCUCAUGAACUUGAGAUUUGCACUUUUGGGCCAGAGUAACUUUCACAGUAAUAAUUAAUCCAUAGACUUGUUCACAACCAAGCCAUUUAAGAUCGAAAUCUAUGAAUAAUAUCUUAUAAUUACAAUAAUAUAUUCGCACAUGCAGAGCAAUAACAUGCAGAGCUUGCAUGGCCAAUUAGCCAGCCUGGGUCAUUGCGUUUAUAUGGGAAAUUCCCAGUCCAGUAAAAAUUACUUGGGCACAGAAUUGGCCCAUGCAGCUAAGUGAGAUCCUGCCUCAACUGUAACAGCUAGACUGUGCAAUGUCCAGCAUUCAUGAAGUACUGCCAUGUAUAGUGGAUUUUUUCCGCUGACCUCAAUAAAAAUUCAUGAAGGAAUGGGAUUAGUGCUAACAUCGACAAGAAGCUGAACUUAAGUGAAUUCCAUGUACACACAUUCAUUAUCAUUGUCUAAAUCAGCAGAACUUGUGUGGGAAUAUCAUCCUCAAGCAGGGCCAUAGCUAGACCGCUAAUUGGGGGGGGGGGGGGGGGUAAAUAUGCAUGUGUUCUGCUCAAUGGAUUUCUUUUGAAAGCAAUUGUUUUUACGGUAUGUGAACAGUGUCAAACAUGAAUAUAUGAAUAUAUACCCCCCCCCCCCCAAUUAUCGCAUCUAGCUAUGAUCCUGUCCUCAAGACCCGCGAAUGUUACCCAGCCUAUUUUACAAGCCGCUUAACUGGUAAUCUGCCGCUGGUUGCAAUGUUUGUCAUAUUAAUUUAUUGAGUCAUUAAGACUUAAGUGACUUGGACUUGAGUAAAUUACUUGGCACUCUAGUUGCUAUUUUCAAGGACUUGAUUGCUUCCAAUAUGGAAAAUGACUCGACUGCCCUGAUUCAACUCAAGUCAACACAGAAAAUGACUUGACUGACACAGCUUAUAAAUAAUCAUUAAAUAGUUAGGAUGGUUUGCAUCUGAAUGAGGCAUGACAGAGCAUUAAAAUUUCUUCUCGAUUCUGAUAAGUUGAUUUCUUACUCCACAUGAUUAUUAUUACAUGAUUGGCUGUAACUGAUAUUGGGUCAUUCCAGGAAACAUCCAUAACUCCCCCACACAGGAAAUUGGAAGUUAGUUAUCAACCCCCUACCUCUGUCAACAACAACAACAACAACAACAACAACAACAACAACAACAACAACAACAGCAAUAACAACAACAACAACAACAACAACAACAACAACAACAAACAAUUUAUUUUCACUCAUAAAAAACAUAAUUAUACAGAAAGUUAUUCUUAUUAUUAUCAGCUGAGAGUGAAGACCACCUGUAAUAACCAUAUGGGCUACUCAAGACAGGUGACCUCUAUAAUGAAAAGUAGUAAUUUUAUAGAGUUGGAAAAGUUAGAUACGGACAUGGGUUAUCAAUAAAUAUAAAUAGCAGGCACAGAACACACAUACACACGAUUUUUCUAAACCAAAGUAAAUGAAUAUGAGUGAGUAAAAGGCUCAUGCAAAAGCCUUGAAAAAAGUAACAGGUAGGUCUCAAAAAAAAAAUAUCAAACUUUGAGUCAAACAAUUUUAGUAGCUAAAAAUCAUCAAUGCUGUUCCAAAUCUUGAUUCCAAUGAAUCUAAUAAUUGAAAAUUCCAUAAUUUGUAAGGACUAGAGGAAGAGAGUAUGUUGUCCUAGAAACUAACCGAGUAUUGUGGCUAUGUUGCUAAAAAAAUGAUUAAAACUAUUUGCAAGCUUUUUAUUAUAGAAAUUAUGCAACCAUUGAAUAUAUGCAACCAUUGUCUAGCAUGGUUCCAUAUGAAUUGUUCUGGCCUGAAUUUUAAAUCAGCGAAGACAGCCGUUAAAAUGGACUGGUUUUGUGCACCGUGUCUCUCCUCUAUUUUUCCAUUCAACCACUUUGAUAAUGACGAAGAAUUCUUGUUGGCUCUCCGCGAAUCGAAUAGUGAAUUUACAUUUAAUAUUGAUCCCUUUAAAGACUUAAUAUUUAAUCCAAUCUCCGAAACUUUAACAAAUAUCAAUAACUUGGACUCUGAUGAGCACUUCUUUAACUCGUGUAUUUCAAACAACAAUAAUUACCUUCUUGAGGAUACCUUUGUUUCUGAACACUCUAAUAAAUUCGAUCAAUUCUCACUUAUUCAUUUCAAUGCUCGUAGCCUUCCGCAUAAUUUUGAUAAAUUUACAAAUUACCUUAAUCUGUUACAGUUUCCUUUUUCGAUAAUUGGUGUCUCUGAGACUUGGCUGACAUCUACUAACAUAGCUCAGUGUGAGCUUGAUAAUUAUAAAUUAAUAACAUCUAACCGUAUUAACAGACAGGGCGGAGGCGUUGCUCUUUAUAUUAGGGACAACAUUGAUUUCGUUGAAUUAACUGAUCUUGGUAUUAAUGACGAUAACAUAUGCCUAGCCCGCGUGCAGGCCCAAGGAAACUGAUAGUGGGCCUGCAAGCAAGGCCCGGUAUUUGUAAAACGCCCCUUUUCAUAACACGCCCCAUUCGCGCGUCAAUUGUCAAAAAAGAACCAAUGACAGCAACCCAAAUAUUAACAAACAAAUUCGCAUUAAAAUGUUGCGGGGUUUUCUCUGCUUUAAUAUUCAAAAUAGAAACAAUGUGUAAAUGCCUGUGUUAAAACUCCAAAAAAACAAGCAACGCAGUCAGUAAUUGCCAAAUUUACAAGUGCUCAUUUUCAACUAAAAUCGGAACAGGCAAAUUAAGACGAAUUUCAACAGAAAACCAGUCUCAAACUUCAAAUCGUGAGGGAAGUCGUGCGACCACAUCAGCAUUUAUAAUGUUGCUUCGCUGUCGCCAUUGUUAUAAAUAAAUUGUCUCACUUAUCAGAUCGUGUGUGCAAUUCUUGUUGGCGGCGGAAAGUACGAAAUUUAUUUCAGUUAUUUCAUUUGGUGAGAACUCUACAAAAGAAGAGAGCGUUCAGAGUCCAGAUCGUUUCGUUUCAAACGGCAAUUUAAUACCGUCUUCUCUUUUGCUCUCUCAGCGAAGCCUUGUAAAUCGCAAAGUAUUUUGAAUAGGCUUACAUGCAACUGCAUCUCAACAUCAACCAAAAGAUAAUUUUCUUGAGGAACAUAUAACGUAUCAAGUCUGUUUGAAAUUAAUGAAACUCAAGUAAAGGUUACUAUAGUUUUAUACCCCAUUCGUAAUAAAUGUUGCUAUUCCAACACCUCACGACAAGCAAUCCUCAUUGGCAUAACGGCAAAAACAUCUCUUCCUUCAAGUAAACAAUAAACAGUCUGUUCUUGUUCCAUUUGUAAUCGAAAAAAGUGAUCAAUUUUCGAAUUUUAAGCUUAUCGAGAGCCUUUGUCUAUGCCUUUGUGAUGAAUCACUGACCUAAUUAUAGAAUCCAACAGCAAACAGCCAAUCAGAAUGCCGCGUUCGUGGGCGAACGCGGAAAGUACAAAAUACCGGGCCUUGCUUGCAGGCCCACUAUCAAGUUCCCUUCAGCCUGCUCCCUUGGGCCUGCACGCGGGCUAACAUAUGCCAGUCAUUAUUUAUCGAAUUUUUAAUAAACAACCAUAAGGUUGUAACUGGUAUAAUCUAUAGGCCUCCUAAUGCAGACGUAAGUUUGUUUAACGAUUAUCUUGACAAAACCCUUAAUUACCUUAAUAAGUCGAAUAAAUUAAAUUAUCUUAUUGGUGAUUUUAACAUUAAUCUUUUAAAUAUUGAAGAAAACUCGAUAACCAGCGAUUUUUUCGAAAUUAUGACUUCGUAUUCUUAUUGUCCAACUACUAACAGUAUCUUUCGGCCCACCAGGAUUACCAGUUAUACAGCAACACUUGUAGACAACUGCUUUACAAACAAUUAUGAACAUUCUGCCGAUUCUGGCAUUUUAAUUACUGAUAUUUCUGACCACUUACCUAUAUUUCAUUUUUCAGACCUAAAAGUAAGUUAACUUGGUUUCCCUCAAUUGGCAAGCAGUUUAUGAAUCCACUGAUUCGAAUAUUGCCUAUAAUAUUUUUCUUAAUAUGUUUAAUGACCUUUACGACAAAUCUUUUCCACUCAAAAAAAGAAAAAUAAGGAAAACGCGGGCUCGUAAACAUUGGAUAUCAAAAGGAUUGAUUAAAUCAAUUACAGUUAAAAACAAAUUGUACAAAAAGUUCUUAAAAGAAAGGAAUUCACCAACGGAACAAAAAUUUAAAUCAUAUAGGAACAAAUUGAAUCAUCUUCUUAAAAUCGCAAAAAAGCGUUACUUUGCAAUGAAACUUGAAUCUGCUAAAUCUGAUCUGAAGCAUACUUGGAGAAUCCUUAAUGACCUUAUUCGAAAACCAAAAUCUAAAACUAUUUACCCUGAAUCAUUUCAUUUCAAUGAUACUGAGACUGCUGACCCUCAGAUAAUCUCCAACACUUUCAACAAAUACUUCGCCAACAUUGGCGCUAAUCUAGCAAAAGUAAUUCCUAAUACUUCUGUUAAUUUUACUCACUACCUUAUAGGAUCUUACAUGCACUCGUUUGUACUGUAUGAAACUAAUGAAGAUGAAAUAACUAAACUUAUCUCAGAACUUAACCCUAAUAAAUCCUGUGGGAUUGAUUUGAUUGACCCAUUUAUUGUUAAACAACUUGCUGGACCAUUAGCUCCUACUUUGUCAAAUAUUUUCAAUAAACUACUUUGUCAAAUAUUUUCAAUAAAUCCAUGAAUACUGGCAGAGUGCCUGACAAAUUAAAAGAGGCUAUGAUAACUCCUGUUUACAAAUCUGAUGACCGUAAAUCUUUUGGUAACUAUAGACCAAUUUCCAUUCUUCCAAUAUUUUCAAAAAUAUUGGAAAGAAUUAUUUACAACAGAUUAUUAACAUAUUUGGAUAAAAUGCAUAUCCUGUCCAGCAAUCAGUAUGGUUUCAGAAUGAAUUACUCAACUUAUAUGGCUUUAAUUGAAUUAAUCGACAGUCUCUCUCAUUCGAUUGAUAACAAUGAAUAUACUGUAGGCAUAUUUGUUGAUUUAUCAAAAGCGUUUGAUACUGUGAACCACAAAAUUCUUAUAAGUAAACUAAACCAUUACGGUAUCAGAGGUACUCCACUCAUGUGGUUUAAAGAUUAUUUAAGUGAUAGGAAACAAACUGUGAAAUUUAGUGAGACGGUCUCCUCAAAAAUGAUUGUAACGUGUGGUGUUCCCCAAGGUUCUAUCCUUGGACCACUUUUAUUUCUUCUUUACAUUAGCGAUAUUGCCAAUUGCUCUAAUCUUCUCAAUUUUAUUCUGUUUGCUGAUGAUACUAGUAUAUAUCAUUCCGACAGAGAUCCUGCCACACUCAUCCGUAAAGUUAAUUGUGAACUUGAUAAACUGUCGGACUGGUUUAAAGCAAAUAAACUUUCACUUAAUUUAAAGAAAACGAAUUAUAUAAUUUUUCGCGCAAGAAAUAAACCCAUUCCAAGUCGAGAUAAUUUAAAUGUGUUUAUUGACUCUAUAAAAAUUAAAAGGUUAGCUACCACUAAAUUUCUUGGAACUUAUAUAAACGAACAUUUAGACUGGAAACCACAUAUUUCACACGUUGCCCUAAAGAUGGCAAAAUCUAUUGGCAUCAUAAACAAAGCAAAGCAUUUUAUUACUAGCCCCACCAGAAGAACUUUAUAUUGCUCCUUGGUGUUACCGUAUAUUCAAUACUGUAAUAUAGUUUGGGCUAAAAUAUAUCCUACUAAUCUUGAUAAAAUCAUGAAAUUGCAAAAACGUGUAGUGCGUAUUAUUGCUAAUGCUGGAUAUCGAGAUCCUACUGAACCACUUUUUUCAAAAUUCAAGUUACUUGAUGUUUAUGCCAUUAAUAAAUUUCAGACUGGUUCUUUUAUGUAUAGAUGCUUUGACAAGUCCUCAAUUUUCCCGCAACAUUUUAGGAGUUACUUCAUCCUUAACAAGGACAUUCACUCUUACGAGACGCGGAAUGCCAACAGAGUUAAUAUCAACCAAGUCAGAACAACAACAAGAAAACAAACUCUUAAACACAGUGGAUCAUUGUUUUGGAACUCGCUAGAUAAAUAUGUAACCGAAGCUGCUACGUUAUUUAUUUUUCAGGCUAGACUAAGGUCCCAUAUUCAUAAAUAUUGAGUAUAAUAUAGUUUAUGAUUUAUUUCUAUAUACCCAUAUUUCUUUUUUCACUCAAUCAUUUGAAUACAUAGAUUCUUAAAAAUCUCCUUCCCAGUUCCGUUGGUUGAUCAGUGCUUGUUCAAGUUCUCUUGAGCUUUCUCACUGCUCAACCUUCUGCACAACAAUAUUUUUUUUAUAUAAAACUCAACAAAUAAUGGAUUGUAAAAUGGGACCAAUAUUAUUAUAGUAUAUGAGUAUAUAUAAGGGAAUCUUGCAAUGUAAUGUUGUGUGGUAAAUAAAUUGAUUGAUUGAUUGAUUGAAUUAUGUAAAAACAAAGCCGUAUUAAAAUACACAAUGUCAAGAAAUUUUAAUAAGUUGAAACUCUUAAAAAGUGGAGAGAAACUCUUAAAAAAUGCCCUUACUAUUAUCAGAAAGAAAUGUUUCUCCCCUCGGCCUCUGGACAGAAGAAAUUUCCUCUUUGGGGAAGCCAGGAAACAUCCACACCUCCCCCAUUGGCGGAAGUUGAAAGUUGACCCAUGCACUACCCCUGUGAUCAUCCUAGUACUUUUUAUUAUUAUCAGAAGUACAUACCCAGGGCUCCCACUCUGGAGAAGAGAAAUUUCCUUUGUGUGGACUGUGGUGUUUUAAAGAAUCAUUACCAGCUGAUCACUAGGGAUUCGCUGCAUUGAGCCCAAAAUUGCGAAUCAAAAUUACUUUUCUGAGGGCGACAAUUAUGUGCCGAUGACAUUCUCCUACAGUAGGCCUAGGGCUUGAUUUGACUAUAUAUCACUAAUUCUGGUGGUUUCGAACAAAAUUUAUUAAUUUAUUUACUAGAAUUUUGAACCCUUAAAAAGUGUGAACCGCCACCGUGAAAAUCUCCCCCCCCCCUUGCCCUCUUUCCGGCAUCCCUGGGAACAACCAAUUGAGUAGAACUAUAAUAUUUCCACAUUAGUACAGCCUCGCCAUGGCACACAAGUCGCAUGCAGACUGUCAAUGUAUUUCACACUAGAGGUGUGCAAAUCCGAUCGGAUUCGUUCGGAUUUCGGAACAAAAAUAUUCAUUUCGGAUUGAUAAAGUUGUUUCGUAGUCGGAUCAGAUCGGACUUCGAUAUUCCAAAUAAAAUGAAUAAAUUAUCCACCGUAACGCGGUUCUCGCUGCAUUAUUCGUUUCAUUGAUACUUCAAUUGGACGUCACUUUGGCAGCUUCUUGACAUGUAUUUCUUGCUUUUAUAUUUAUUUGGUUAAAUAUUUCCACUUGAAUGAAAAAUUUAUUUUAUUAAAGGAUUCUUCGGAUCGGAAUUCUUUAUUAAAAUUCGGAUCGAAUUCGGGAUUAGACAAUUUCGGAUCGGAUUGGAUUUUGAACAUUAGCCAAUUGUCGGAUUAUAAACAUCCAAUCCAAUCCGGUGCAUGCACACCUGUAUUUCACACUGCAAGUAUUUUUGUUAUUCAAUUAAAUACAUAAAGUUAUUAAGGUCAAUUUUAUUAAUCACUCAAUUCACAGAUUGCAAACUGGGAUAGCAGUCCAUUACAGAAUAUGUGGGUAAUGAAAUAGAUUUAUUGAACAUCGUUGCGAUUUAUCGUAUACUGUACGAUUCGUAUUCUGACGUAUGAAAUUGCUGUUGAUGCCACAGUUCCUGCCCAUUUAGUUUAUGGAGAAAUUUGAAAUGCAACCACUUUACGCGUGCUUAUAAUUCGAUUACAUACGAUAGAACACGAGUCGUACACGAUAGAUCUCAACGUGUAAUGUACCUUUACUCAACUACUCUUAAGUUGAGCUAGUGACUAGAGUGAAGACAUUUAUGCAUGUAUUCAACUUGUUACUCAAUGUUUGUUAGACUGAGCUGGACAUAUGACUCGACCUUGGGAUGACUUGUUACAACAUUAGGCUAACGCCUACUUAUUUUUUAUAGAUAUAGAAUGUAGCAGAAUGGCGUAUGCAAAAGAAAGUGGGUUUCAUUUUCGAGAGAUAAAAGGAAAUUUAUUCAGCUGUGAAAAAGACACAUCUCUGGCUCACUGUAUCAGCGCUGAUGUACAUAUGGGGAAAGGAAUUGCAACAACCUUUAAAAAGAUGUUUGGAGGAGUCGAUGAACUUCGCAGGCAAGGUACAG
rnacentral:lncRNA from 1 species